rnacentral:rRNA from 1 species
CGGACGGGUGAGUAACACGUGGAUAACCUACCUAUAAGACUGGGAUAACUUCGGGAAACCGGAGCUAAUACCGGAUAAUAUAUUGAACCGCAUGGUUCAAUAGUGAAAGACGGUUUUGCUGUCACUUAUAGAUGGAUCCGCGCCGCAUUAGCUAGUUGGUAAGGUAACGGCUUACCAAGGCAACGAUGCGUAGCCGACCUGAGAGGGUGAUCGGCCACACUGGAACUGAGACACGGUCCAGACUCCUACGGGAGGCAGCAGCG